GAUGAACGCUAGCGGCAGGCCUCAUACAUGCAAGUCGAGGGGCAGCGGGACACUCCGGUGUUGCCGGCGACCGGCGGACGGGUGCGUAAUGCGCAUGCAAUCUACUUUACACUGGGGAAUAGCCUCCGGAAACGGGAAUUAAUACCCCAUAUAAUCUUAUUAGCGCAUGUUAAAAAGAUGAAAGCUCCGGCGGUGUAAAAUGAGCGUGCGUCCUAUUAGCUAGUUGGUGAGGUAAUGGCUCACCAAGGCUACGAUGGGUAGGGGUUCUUAGUGGAAGGUCCCCCACACUGGCACUGAGAUACGGGCCAGACUCCUACGGGAGGCAGCAGUAGGGAAUAUUGGUCAAUGGGCGCAAGCCUGAACCAGCCAUGCCGCGUGCAGGAUGAAGGCUCUCUGAGUUGUAAACUGCUUUUGUACAGGAGCAAAAAAGUCCCUGCGGGGAUUCUUGAGCGUACUGUUAAGAAUAAGCACCGGCUAAUUCCGUGCCAGCAGCCGCGGUAAUACGGGAGGUGCAAGCGUUAUCCGGUUUUAUUGGGUUUAAGGGUGCGUAGGCGGCUUAUUAAGUCAGUUGUGAAAUCCUAGUGCUUAACGCUAGAACUGCGAUUGAUACUAUUAGGCUUGAGUUAAGAAGAGGUAAGCAGAAUUUAUGGUGUAGUAGUGAAAUGCUUAGAUAUCAUAAGGAAUACCAAUAGCGUAGGCAGCUUACUGGUCUUUAACUGACGCUGAGGCACGAAAGCGUGGGGAGCAAACAGGAUUAGAUACCCUGGUAGUCCACGCCGUAAACGAUGAUCACUCGAUAUACAUGAUACAUCAUGUGUGUCUAAGCGAAAGCGUUAAGUGAUCCACCUGGGGAGUAUACUCGCAAGGGUGAAACUCAAAGGAAUUGACGGGGGUCCGCACAAGCGGUGGAGUAUGUGGUUUAAUUCGAUAAUACGCGAGGAACCUUACCUGGGCUAGAAUGUGUUUUGCUACCUUGAGAAAUUGAGGGUUCCUUCGGGACGGAAUACAAGGUGCUGCAUGGCUGUCGUCAGCUCGUGCCGUGAGGUGUUGGGUUAAGUCCUAUAACGAGCGAAACCCUUUUACUUAAUUGCCAGCACGUAAUGGUGGGGACUUUAAGUAGACUGCCCGUGUAAGCGGGAGGAAGGAGAGGACGAGGUCAAGUCAUCAUGGCCUUUAUGCCCAGGGCUACACACGUACUACAAUGGCAUGUACAAAGGGAAGCUACUUGGCAACAAGAUGCAAAUCUCAAAAGCAUGUCUCAGUUCGGAUUGAGGUCUGCAAUUCGACCUCAUGAAGUUGGAAUCGCUAGUAAUCGCGUAUCAGCAAUGACGCGGUGAAUACGUUCUCGGACCUUGUACACACCGCCCAUCAAGCCAUGGGAGUUGGUAGAGCUUGAAGACAGUGGCCGUAAAAGGAGCUGUUUAGUGUUAGACCAGCGACUGGGGCU
rnacentral:rRNA from 1 species